GAGGAUGUAGCUCAAUUGGUAGAGCGUUGUUCAAAGCAUGAUAAAGAUACGGGGUUUGAUUCCUUGCAUCUCCA
rnacentral:tRNA from 1 species